GGAUGUUGUCUGAUUCAAGCUUUUCUCUUCUGAUUCAGAAGCAUCAUUUCAAGAUGCUUAAUGUGUUUGGUCUUUUUUUCCAGUGUGAAAAUUCAAGCUUUGUUAAAAAAGCAUUACAUUCCUUGCAAACAAAAUCAGACGUUCAAAAUACUUUCAGCUCCUCUGGACAUCAAAAGGAGGAAGGAUCAGGAAGUCUCUGGCUUUGUCCUUAUUUAACAAUAUUAAGAAAAACAGCAUAGUCAUGAUAAAUAACAGCCUUUACAUCGUUUUGUUUCUCUGGAGACUGAUCCUGAUCUUACCUAUCUGAUUUCAUGCACAUGAAUAUUCCCUUUGAUUAAGGUACAUCAGCUCCUGGAAAGCUCAUGUUAAUCAAUGUAGCUGAUGCAAGAACUCCAAGCUUACUGCCUGGUAGUGUCCCAAGGAACAGGAGACAAGGUGGAAAAGCUGAAAUACUCCAGUCUUCAGAUACUAGAGCCCUGAAUGGCACAGAAUGAGAUGUUGAGUAACACAGAGGCAGGAGGUCAUGGGGGAAAACUCUUUGUCCUGGUCACACAUGGACUGGGGCAUACUGAAAAGCUACUUAAGCCUCCUACUCUGUGGCAGAAGAUGCUGCAUUAAGAUUUGUACAAGGUUUUGACAUGAGGCAGAAAACUUCCUCUGAACUCUGUGUGUGUUGGGACCCAGCUCUUAAGUGUCCUGCUUUAUCCCACUUCAGCACCGCCAUCACCUCUUGUUUGAGAUGUGGAUUUUCAUUCUGCCCUUGCUGCGUAAAACCAGUGAAUCAUUUCAGGCAGAAGUUAAGAUCUCCUGCCAUGCUGGGCGGCUCUGCUCUAGUGCCAGAUCCUGGAAGAAUGUUAUCUCUCAGCAUGUGAUUUAGCUGCAGGAAUACUUAUGUGGCUUUUGGAUGAUCCACUGAUGAGAAGUACAGAAAACCCACGAGGAUGUGAACAAUUUUCUCUUGUGUGCUCAAGUAACAGGCAGCAAGUAAGGCAUGGUGCAGUGCAGCAAGCGGCAAGUAGAAAACCAAACAUAAAAUCAUUAAAAUGUAUCCUCCACUCUGUGCAAAUGAGAGAUAGAAAAUUCCUGGGAAAAUCUUUGGGAAUUUAGCUGCUCUUGCAGAGCUCCAGUUAGUGUGAAGGUGGUGUUCAUGUGAGUCCUUGUACCUUGGUAUAGAUUAAGUCCCAUUUCAACUUCUCGUCCGACAUUGGAUCAUAUUUGUUCUGACGCAAGGUGUUAUGUUGCAUUGUGAAUAAAACAGUCAGUUACUGAGAGAGUAACUUCUACAUACCCUGAGGGAUGGUGAUGUUACUGGGCUGGAGAUGGCUGAUCUGUUUCUACGUCUCUGAACCCUGUUGGGAACCUGAACUGUUAACCUGAACUCUCAUUUUUUAUGUGUUUUCUACUAAAACAGUUUUAAAGCAUCUCUGUUACUGUGAAUUCUUGCUUAUUUGUCAUAAAGGAGGAAAAAAAAAAGCCAAAUGGGAAUUAACAAGAGGAUUUUCUUUGUGACUUUAGUCCCUCAUUAGAAGGUUUACAAUCGAGCUUUGGGAAAGAUUUCCUUGAAUUAUUUUAAGGUUCUAAUGAUAAAAACCUUGGGGAGGUCAUGCACAUGGGGGAUUUAAUACCCAUUCAGAACCAUCUGGCAUUAGAUUACAUGCAGGGAAAGAACAAAAUCUGGCAGUAGUAUUCAUCUCCAUUAACCCAGCAUACAGGCUGAUAUGAU